rnacentral:rRNA from 1 species
UGGGGAAUAUUGGACAAUGGGCGCAAGCCUGAUCCAGCCAUGCCGCGUGAGUGAUGAAGGCCCUAGGGUUGUAAAGCUCUUUCACCGGUGAAGAUAAUGACGGUAACCGGAGAAGAAGCCCCGGCUAACUUCGUGCCAGCAGCCGCGGUAAUACGAAGGGGGCUAGCGUCGUUCGGAUUUACUGGGCGUAACGCGCACGUAGGCGGACUUUUAAGUCAGGGGUGAAAUCCCGUGGCUCAACCCCGGAACAGCCUUUGGUACUGGAAGUCAUGAGUGUGGUAGAGGUGAGUGGAAUUCCGAGUGUAGGGGUGAAAUUCAUAGGUAUUCGGAGAAACACCAGUGGCUAGGGCGGCUCACUAGACCAUAACUGACACUGAGGUCCGAAAGCGUGGGGAGCCAUCAGG